AUGAAGCUAAACGCACCAUCAGGACGAGGAUACAAUGUGGGAGAAAUUAUUCCUACCGAGGUACAUCGCCGCCGCCACACAACCCCAACAAAGACGUUGAACCUAACAAAAAUAAGAACGGGUCCCUCCCGCUGGCGAGGGGCCGAGGUCAUCUGCACGUCCAUGGCCCAAAGGCCAUCGGAGAUGAGGUGGACCGGCGGCGACGCGGACGGGAGGAGGGAAGACUUUCCUUUUCACUGCACCACACACAUACCCAUACGACCAUAUCCACGAAAAGUCAUCUGCGCACGCGCAUCACCGAGCGCGCCUUCCCUUUCCUCUCCUCCUAGUAGCUUCUCUCCCCGGUUCUUCCCUCUCUCCGUCCCGUGGUCGGCCAUGCCGGGCGCCAGCUCGCCGAGCGGCCGCGCCGGCGCCGGCAGGAGGUGGUGCGCGCACGGGGACCUCCUGACCGUGGCCGUCGCCGCGAUGCUCUGCUCGGCGACCUACUGCUUCUCCAUAUGGCACAACGGGCGCAACGCGGCGGACAAGAUCGUCAUCGGGCCGGCUCCCUUCGUCGUCGCGGGCGCCGCGUUGUGCGGGGGCGACGCCGCGGAGCUCGACUUCGAGGCGCACCACACCGCCGAGCGAGCCGGGCUCUCCGUGUCGUCUUCAUCGCCGACGGUCACCGGGCGACGGGCAUUGCGCGCGGCCGCGGUGCCCAUGGACGGUAUCGGGCGACGCGGCGUGGUGUUGGCGGGGAACUCGGCUGACGGCAAGGAGUGGGCACGGGUCAACGGCGACAAGCUCCGGUCAAUACACGCCGGCGCCGUGCGCGCGUAG
rnacentral:rRNA from 1 species